rnacentral:rRNA from 1 species
AUUGAACGCUGGCGGCAGGCCUAACACAUGCAAGUCGAACGAGUGGCGGACGGGUGAGUAAUGUCUGGGAAACUGCCUGAUGGAGGGGGAUAACUACUGGAAACGGUAGCUAAUACCGCAUACCAUCAGAUGUGCCCAGAUGGGAUUAGCUAGUUGGUGGGGUAACGGCUCACCAAGGCGACGAUCCCUAGCUGGUCUGAGAGGAUGACCAGCCACACUGGAACUGAGGCACGGUCCAGACUCCUACGGGAGGCAGCAGUGGGGAAUAUUGCACAAUUGGCGGAAGCCUGAUGCAGCCAUGCCUGGGGGAUGAAGAAGGCCUUCGGGUUGGAAAGGACUUUUAGGGGGGAAGCGUUACCCGCAGAAGAAGCACCGGCUAACUCCGUGCCAGCAGCCGCGGUAAUAC